AAACAACUACGAGUGAAAACUUAAAACUUAAAAGACUUGACGGUACUUCACACCCAACCUAGAGGAGCCUGUCUAAUAACCGAUAAUCCACGAUUAACCCAACCACCUCUGGCCCCCCAGCCUAUAUACCGCCGUCGCCAGCCCACCUUGUGAAAGAAAACAAGUGGACAAAAUAGUACCACACUAAUACGACAGGUCGAGGUGUAGCCAAUGAAGUGGGUCAAGAUGGGCUACAUUUUCUAACUUAGACUAAACGAACAAAGCAAUGAAAUAAACUUUCAAAGGCGGAUUUAGCAGUAAGAUGAGAACAUAAUACUCAACUGAAAUAAAUGCAAUGAAGUGCGC
rnacentral:rRNA from 1 species